UACGUAGGGUGCGAGCGUUAAUCGGAAUUACUGGGCGUAAAGCGUGCGCAGGCGGUUACUUAAGUCAGGUGUGAAAGCCCCGAGCUUAACUUGGGAAUUGCGCUUGUGACUGGCGUGCUGGAGUGUGGCAGAGGGAGGUGGAAUUCCACGUGUAGCAGUGAAAUGCGUAGAUAUCGGGAGGAACACCAGUGGCGAAGGCGACUACCUGGCCUGUUCUUGACGCUGAGGCGCGAAAGCUAGGGGAGCAAACGGG
rnacentral:rRNA from 1 species